AACGAACGCUGGCGGCGUGCCUAACACAUGCAAGUCGAACGGGAUUAGGGGCUUGCUCCUAAUCUAGUGGCGCACGGGUGAGUAACGCGUAGAUAAUCUGCCUGAUGAUCUGGGAUAACACUUCGAAAGAGGUGCUAAUACCGGAUAAGCCCACGGGUUCUUUGGAAUCUGCGGGAAAAGGGGGGGACCUUCGGGCCUUCUGUCAUCAGAUGAGUCUGCGUACCAUUAGCUAGUUGGUAGGGUAAUGGCCUACCAAGGCGACGAUGGUUAGCUGGUCUGAGAGGAUGAUCAGCAAAACUGGAACUGAGACCCGGUCCAGACUCCUACGGGAGGCAGCAGUGGGGAAUUUUGCGCAAUGGGCGAAAGCCUGACGCAGCAACGCCGCGUGAGUGAUGAAGGCUUUCGGGUCGUAAAGCUCUGUCAAUGGGAAAGAAGUGUAUUGUGGCUAAUAUCCGCGAUACUUGACGGUACCCAUAAAGGAAGCACCGGCUAACUCCGUGCCAGCCGCCGCCGUAAGAC
rnacentral:rRNA from 1 species